rnacentral:rRNA from 1 species
GAUGAACGCUGGCGGCGUGCCUAAUACAUGCAAGUCGAGCGAAUGGAUUAAGAGCUUGCUCUUAUGAAGUUAGCGGCGGACGGGUGAGUAACACGUGGGUAACCUGCCCAUAAGACUGGGAUAACUCCGGGAAACCGGGGCUAAUACCGGAUAAUAUUUUGAACUGCAUGGUUCAAAAUUGAAAGGCGGCUUCGGCUGUCACUUAUGGAUGGACCCGCGUCGCAUUAGCUAGUGGGUGAGGUAACGGCUCACCAAGGCAACGAUGCGUAGCCGACCGGGGAGGGUGAUCGGCAAGUCUUGGACUGAGACACAGCCCAGACUCCGACGGGAGGCAGCAGUAGUGAAUCUUCCGCAAUGGACGAAAGUCUGACGGAGCAACGCCGCGUGAGUGAUGAAGGCUUUCGGGUCGUAAAACUCUGUUGUUAGGGAAUAACAAGUGCUAGUUGAAUAAGCUGGCACCUUGACGGUACCUAACCAGAAAGCCACGGCUAACUACGUGCCAGCCGCCGCGGUAA